ACUGAUUGAGCCGAGGCCCGUUUCUCUUGGUAGGUGAUGAUAGUGGUCGUCUUGCGCGUUUCUCCGGUUCUUGUGUACACAGUGGUGGCAUAAGACUCUGCCUUUUGGGCAUAUAGGUUCUUUACCCUUCGUCUUCCUUAUUCGAGGCAAUUGUUCGUCUACUACCCCUACGAGGUUGUGUCUGGCGUGUCGCUGGGACUAGGUUGUAGCCGAUUCUCUCCUUUAUUUACUUGAGGGAGUAAGGUACAUCAAAAAUGACGUAUAACAUAGACUCCAACUAGAAAACCAAAGUGCAUCACAUUCGGGGUCAAAUUCACCAGUGCAUUCUAUGUAAAAAACACAAGGUUUAUAUUAUACUGGGCACUGAACAAUAUCAGAGGUUUAAUUCCUUGUUAUGAUUUACCUCAACUGAAGAAAAGAAAAAUGAGCCGAAAACCUUUGACUCUGGC
rnacentral:lncRNA from 1 species